rnacentral:rRNA from 1 species
GACGAACGCUUGCGUCUUUCUUAACACAUGCAAGUCGAACGGAAAGGCCCUGCUUUUGUGGGGUGCUCGAGUGGCGAACGGGUGAGUAACACGUGAGUAACCUGCCCUUGACUUUGGGAUAACUUCAGGAAACUGGGGCUAAUACCGGAUAGGAGCUCCUGCUGCAUGGUGGGGGUUGGAAAGUUUCGGCGGUUGGGGAUGGACUCGCGGCUUAUCAGCUUGUUGGUGGGGUAGUGGCUUACCAAGGCUUUGACGGGUAGCCGGCCUGAGAGGGUGACCGGCCACAUUGGGACUGAGAUACGGCCCAGACUCCUACGGGAGGCAGCAGUGGGGAAUAUUGCACAAUGGGCGGAAGCCUGAUGCAGCAACGCCGCGUGCGGGAUGACGGCCGUCGGGUUGUAAACCGCUUUCGCCUGUGACGAAGCGUGAGUGACGGUAAUGGGUAAAGAAGCACCGGCUAACUACGGG